rnacentral:rRNA from 1 species
UACGAAGGGUGCAAACGUUGCUCGGAAUUAUUGGGCGUAAAGCGCACGUAGGCGGCUUUGCAAGUCGGAUGUGAAAUCCCUCGGCUUAACCAAGGAAGUGCAUCCGAAACUGCAGAGCUUGAGUACUUAAGAGGAUCGCGGAAUUCCCGGUGUAGAGGUGAAAUUCGUAGAUAUCGGGAGGAACACCAGUGGCGAAGGCGGCGACCUGGGCCAAUACUGACGCUGAGGUGCGAAAGCGUGGGGAGCAAACAGG